UUGCGAAAAGCUGCUGCACAGCUGAUAUACGCAGUAUAAUGUGGUGUGUUCGCUUUGUGUUGUUGCCGACCCGAAGUUGUAGGCGGAAAGCAGAUUAGAUAUUUUUUGUCAGCCAGAGAGAUAUUUUUAAAUCGUAUUCCAAUUAAUCGGCCUUUCUUUUGUCAUUAUUGAUAUAGAAGUUACUGUCGUGCAACGAAAUGCCUAAUCUAACCAAUUUAUCCCAUUUUCCUUUAAAGAUCAUAUUUACAAUUCACUUGAUUCUUGUGACAUGGGGAAUGCAGGGAAGUUGGUGUCCACAGUCUGUAUUAUUUUAUAAUUUGUUAUUCCUUGUGUGUAUAUUUUGGGCUGUUCAUAAUACAGAAUCAGAUGAACCACUGCAGUUUGCAUUUUUUAUAAAUAUAAUCUCAAUAUUUCUGGAUGUGGUUACCUUAGCAGUCUACUAUCCAUCGGAGUACAACAAUGCCUCUAAUAAGUUUAGCGCAGCCCUUAUGAUCAUAAAUUUGAUUGUUCGUCCUAUUUCAAGUAUAUAUCUGCUGCGAGUAGGUCAGGGGAGAGGUGGCAACUUGGCUACUGUAUUUGCACCGAGUCCUGCCAUGGGUCAGUAAAUCACAAUACUGACUACAUGUCUACGCUUUUGUAGUGCAUCAGUGUUUCAACACGAGCAUAAGUUAUGGCAGGCAAGAUUACGAAGAGAUUUCUCAUCCUCUUCCGCAGAAUUCGGAUUUUGAUGGAGUUUAAAGUUGAAUAAAGGUUGUUCGAAAAUGCAGUUUUAAAUUUAUGUAACAUACACAUGUUUCUGACAUAACAUAGUUUAGAUUACAAUUGUGUAAUGUUAUUUUUCAAUGCUAUAUUAGCAUUGAUAAGUAAUUGUUUAAAUUAAUAUAAGUUGCCUUGUAUAAUGUUUUAUAUUACAAAAAAUCAAAGGUUA